rnacentral:rRNA from 1 species
UACGAAGGGUGCAAGCGUUACUCGGAAUUACUGGGCGUACAGCGUGCGUAGGUGGUUCGUUAAGUCUGAUGUGAAAGCCCUGGGCUCAACCUGGGAAUUGCAUUGGAUACUGGCGAGCUAGAGUGCGGUAGAGGAUGGCGGAAUUCCCGGUGUAGCAGUGAAAUGCGUAGAGAUCGGGAGGAACAUCUGUGGCGAAGGCGGCCAUCUGGACCAGAACUGACACUCAGGGACGAAAGCUAGGGGAGCGAAUGGG